rnacentral:rRNA from 1 species
UACGUAGGGAGCAAGCGUUGUCCGGAAUCAUUGGGCGUAAAGCGCGCGUAGGCGGCCCUGUAAGUCCGUUGUGAAAGUCAAAGGCUCAACCUUUGAAAGCCGAUGGAUACUGCAGGGCUAGAGUUCAGAAGAGGCGACUGGAAUUCCUGGUGUAGCGGUGAAAAUGCGCAGAUAUCAGGAGGAACAGCCGGUGGCGAAAGGCGGGGAUCUCCUUGGGGCCCGGAGUACUGA